rnacentral:rRNA from 1 species
UACGUAGGGGGCAAGCGUUGUCCGGAUUUAUUGGGCGUAAAGCGCGCGCAGGCGGUCCAUUAAGUUGGGUGUCAAAGGCAUCGGCUCAACCGGUGUUCGCACCCAAAACUGGUGAACUUGAGUGCAGAAGAGGAGAGUGGAAUUCCUGGUGUAGCGGUGGAAUGCGUAGAUAUCAGGAGGAACACCAGUGGCGAAGGCGGCUCUCUGGUCUGCAACUGACGCUGAGGCGCGAAAGCGUGGGGAGCAAACA